rnacentral:rRNA from 1 species
GAUGAACGCUGGCGGCGUGCCUAAUACAUGCAAGUCGAGCGAGCAGACGAGGAUCUUGCUCCUCUGACGUUAGCGGCGGACGGGAGAGUAACACGUGGAUAACCUACCUAUAAGACUGGGAUAACUUCGGGAAACCGGAGCUAAUACCGGAUAAUAUAUUGAACCUCAUGGUUCAAUAGUGAAAGACGGUUUUGCUGUCACUUCUAGAUGGAUCCGCGCCGCAUUAGCUAGUUGGUAAGGUAACGGUUUACCAAGGCAACGAUGCGUAGCCGACCUGGGAGGGUGGUCGGACACGCUGUAACUGAGACACGGUCCAGACUCCUACGGGAGGCAGCAGUAGGGUAUCUUCCGCAAUGGGCGAAAGCCUGACGCAGCAAUGCCGCGUGAGUGAUGAAGGUCUUCGGAUCGUAAAACACUGUUAUUAGGGAAGAACAAAUGUGUAAGUAACUGUGCACGUCUUGACGGUACCUAAUCAGAAAGCCACGGCUAACUACGUG